AUUGAUCGUGAUCUCAAAAUUCAGGGUGACGCGUUUGGAAGUACAAAGGAAGUGACAGGAACGAGUAUAUUAUUAUGCAAUUGAAUAGGAUUUGAAGUUUUACAACGGUUUUGUUAGACUAUCUGGGAUUAAAGUGGGAUAAGUUCGUAUCUUUGAGCUAAAGCUUUCUAUCAUUGUAAAUGUUGUGUUCAAUAUAUUUACGCUUAGGACAUUGGUGAUCUUGAUCACUCGGGUAAAGGCGACCUCCGAGCUUAGUUAUUAGAGCUAAAUCAUUUGGAUUUGGAUGAUCCUGUGAAAGGGGAAAGGAUAUGAUGAUGCGAACGUACGUCUUUAAGGGCUUUUCUUAUGUGUUUCCUCUUGUAGUAUUUAAUCCGGGUGGACGUGUCGAUGUGAUUUGCGUCUAAAAUUCUGCCGGCCAUCGAAUCGGUUGUGUCUACCAGGUUUACGUGUUUUAUCAAUCGGGAUUGUUUCAAGAGAACAGCCGUGUAAAUCGGUGCUUCGCCUCCUCCGAUUAUACAUACUUGCACGUCGCCCUUGCGCUCUGGGAGGAAGCGAUUGUAGCCAUUGAACUCGGUUUCCUUUGGAUUAUUAGGAUCAGUUUUUUCCUUAGAUUUCUUCGAGUGUUUGCUGCACUCCGGGUUCUUGAUUUUCCCAUCGUUGGUGUGUAUUUUGGAAAUGUUGCGACAGAGGCAAGUCGAUAGACUUUUCCUGACGGGUCGCAGGAGGUACCGUUGGGCUCCUAUCAUGACUGAUCGUUUGCCUUGGAGAGUGAGUCAUUCAUGAUAGCCUUUCGUAUUACUGUAGGGAUUUAAGAAAACAUGAGGAAUCACCGAGGUUAAUGGUGUUAACUCAAUAUUACACUGCUUAUUUCUAUUUCGGUGCCGACUUUUUGAAGGAAGUGUUUGGAUCUUUGCUGCUGAAGGUCCUUCUUCAAUAUCUGCAGAAAAUGAUUAUUUCUGUAAAAUAAUUAUAGUAUUUAAAUAGGAUGAAGAAAAUGGGCAUAAGAGAAGUACAAGUAAUCAAACAGUAUAUGUAUAAAUCUACAAUGAUGUCAGACAUAUCUGGAAGAGAUUGUAUACUUAAAGUUUUUUCAUUUGCUAAAUGUAACAAGGAUACAAAGGAAAUAGGAAAACUCAAUGCAUCUACAUUGGUCUUUAUUAAUAAAUUUGGC